CCUUUACUGCUAACACUUUACAGACGAGGAAACCGAGGCUUAUAAUGGGAGGUAGCUUGAUGAGAGAUUUUGGGGCCCUCAUGCAGAAUUCAUUGUGCCUUAUUCUCCAGCAAUGGAACUUCGGCAUCUAGAGAUUUCAAGAUUACAUUCGGGAGGCAAGUCCCUAGGACUUGAGACAAGCUGCAGCAUUCACCUGCAAGUGUGGCUCGCAAAUCAGCAGACUUUGGAGCCAUUGGAAAAGGCUGCUUCCAGUUACAAAGUGAAAAGAUAUAAGCAGCGUGCGCUGUAGACUGAGGUAGUAUCUUCGAGUUCUGUCAUUGGCACCUAUCAGUGGCUGAGAUAUCCUGGGUUGAAGUCUGCAAGGUCCAGCAUAAUGUAUUAUGCAUGAAAAGACAUCUCCUGUUACUUCAUUUUUGUAAAAGAUUACCUCAAUACUC
rnacentral:lncRNA from 1 species